UCUUAGUCUCUACCUCCACCGUGAACCGACCAGCCCCUUGAAUUCCCAUCCACCAUGCAGAUCACUUUUAUUCGGAUUCUAUUGACGCUGAUUUUUAGCGUGUAGCAAACUAUGCAGGAUCCACAAUCCAAGACUGUGUAUGGGAUGACAUUCAAGAUCGACUGGAUAUAUAGUCUUCACUCGAUCAAAAAUAUUGUGUGGACCAUCAUGAAUCAAAUUAUUGACUCUAACACUGCUGGACUCAAGAUUGAGUUCCAAUAGUUUCGGCGGGCCUACUUAAUUAAUAGUCAGUCCAAGAGCUUAAGGGCCCUCUUUGCUAAUUAAAUUCUUGUUGGCAUUUCUAACUAGAAAAGUGGUUCGUCCGUAAUUUACUGUUUUUCCAUUAAAUGAAAACAAGCACGUAGGUGAUAGUUAAUGUGCUGUUUUAUAACUUAUCACGUGAGAACCAUCUGUUUUUUUUUUUUUUUUGCAACUUAGAACCAUCUGUUUCUAGUCCAUAUGAACCAAAAUUUCAGAAAACAAUGUUUGUUACUUAGUUAUUAUUAGUUGCUUACAAAACUGUAGAGUUUUAGAUUGAUCCAUAUUAGGUUUUAUCUUGCUUGGAUUAAAUGAUUGAUUUCGAUUGUUAGUGGUUUUAGGUUCGAUCGAGUGACUAAAUGAAAACAAGAGAGCAACACAAGACAAUUUGUUCAUCCGGUGUUCGCUGAUCUACUCACCGGGGAAGGAGUAGGCAUCCCUCAAUAGCUCCACUAUCAAAAAUCCGAUCGAAGUUACAAGAUCACAACAAUGGUGAUUCUUCUAAAAUAGAGAGAUUACACGAGAACUUAACGAGCUUAUCAUUUCCUUUGUGAAGUCGAAAAGUCACUGCCGAAAUGGUUCGAUCUGACCGUAUACCGCCUCUGCAACUCUGUCGAGCUUCACCCUCACGAUCUUAAGCUAAGUCUUCUUCUCUCUAGUUCUCUGAUUUUGAUCGUCUCUCUCAAUUUGAAUCUGGACGUUGUAACAACUUUAUCCACUCUCAGAUGUGAAACAAAUCUUUUCACUUAUAUAUGAUAGCAUAUGGGCUGAGAUUUGGGUUUUUUUCCUUUUGCACGUUUCGGACGAACCAAGACUGAGAUACAUGACAGUGAGCCAUAAAGAAACAACCUAUUUCGGAGUUUGGCUGAAUCAGAUCCACAAAAACUACAGGCAAUAAAAAAAAACAAAUCAGAACAAAAUCACAAAUAAAUUAUACAAAACCUUGAAAACAAAUGGACUAUUAAAAGCAAGACCGGCAGUUAAAUAACUCAGAUUCUUUAGCUCUGAAGAAUUUUAAACUAAACUAUAUCCAAAAAUAAUUAGAAGUUAAUAGAACAUAACAAUUAACCUAACAAGGAAACUAGAAUUAACAAAAAGUCAGCCUGCAAUUAAUACAUGCAAUCAUGUAAACAAUAGUUUCAUACUAUUAAUCAUCAUCUCCUAUCUAUAAUUAGUUAAUAAAAGCUUUCUUAUUGUACAAAAACAAAUGGCUCCGUCAUUUCUGAGCAUCGCAAAGUUCGUUGAGGCAAUACUUCGCCGGAUAUUCUCCUCCUCUGGUCUCUCUCUACAAACCCUUUCCAUCGACUCCGAAACCACCAUACAAUACUGGGGUCCAGCAACGUCUGAAAACAAACAGAAGCCGUCUCUCCUCCUUCUCCACGGUUUUGGCCCUUCCGCUGUAUGGCAAUGGAACAGACAGGUAAAGAAACUCUCUAUCUACUUCCGUCUCUACAUUCCAGACCUCGUCUUCUUCGGCGGCUCCACCACGACCUCCUUUCGCUCCGACGAAAACCGGUCGGAGAUGUUUCAGGCUUCGUGCAUGGGGAGGCUGAUGGAGAAGCUCGGUGUCGAGAGAUAUAGUGUUGUCGGGACGAGCUACGGUGGAUUUGUGGCGUAUAACAUGGCGAAAAUGAUGCCGGGGAAAGUGGAGAAAGUGGUUCUUGCUAGCUCCGGGGUUAAUUUGCGGAGAAGUGACAACGAGGCGUUUAUCGCGAGGGCCAAGUGUCAUGGCAUCGUGGAGGUGAUGCUUCCUUCCUCGGCGGCGGAUCUCCGGAGAUUAUCUGGGAUGAUAUCUUCUAGGAAACUAGAUUAUGUCCCAGAUUUUGUCUUGAACGACUUUUGCCAGAAAAUGUAUUCGGAGAAGAGAGGGGAAAAGACAGAACUUCUGGAGGGGCUCAGUAUUGGGAGGGACGACAAAACAAACGUUUCACCGAUUCAACAGUGGGAUGACCUGAGACUGUGAACGGAUUUCGCCUCUGGCCUCUGGGCACGUCGGAACCGCGCGAGUUCACCGGGAUAGCACCCGCCCCAGUAGAAAUUUCUCGGAGUGAAUUCCUCUGUCCUGUGUGCGGAAGGCAUAUGAAGUAGUCCAAUAAGGAUUCAAGUCAGGAUGUAAUGCUGAUAUGGGGGGAGAAAGAUCAGGUUUUCCCUCUGAUAAUGGCCCAUGACCUCAGAGACUACGAAGUGGAUUAUGGAUAACAUAAAUGGCGACCUGGAGCAGAUGGGAAGAAGGGAUUAAGCAACGCCACAUGAUCGGACGGAUCACUCAAUGGGUGGGUGGGGGGGGGGGGGGGGGGGGGCAACAACAUCGAGUAGGGUUUAAGUGGUUCGGACACGUUAGAUUCAAAUUGAAAUAUUAAUUGAAAAGAGAAAAGUGUAAUGAGAGUGGGUCUAUAGGAGAGGGCUAAAGCAGGACCCAUGACAAUGAUCCUGAUGAGAUCCUAUGUUGAUACGCGGUUUUGAUUGAAUUCGAAUGUUUUACGCAACCCACCCUUACUAGUCUUCUUUCUUUUGUGUUUGCCAAAUUACCUGUAUUUAUACGUGUCAAACAUGUAUAUUGUGUUACUGUUUAGACGUUUAAUUAUUCCAUAUCAAACGAAAUUAUACGCACCAUGAAGGUAAUAAUUAAUUAUAUUCCAAGACUAGCUAGUUGUUUUUUAAAAUUUCACUUUUACAUAGUGUUGCAUUUUCGGUGUUUUCUUUUUAAUAUUGAUUCAUUAUGAUAUUACAAUUAUGAGAAAUAUUACAUAGACGAUUCGACAACCGAUAAUACUAUAUGUUUUAUAAGGAUUUACACCUAACUGCAUCACCUGAGCCGUCCUACGAAUUUACUUGCACCAUGUUAAAGAUCACUUAUAAAUUUUUCCUCUAUAACUUGCAUAAUUGUUUGAUAAAUCGUUUUUUCCAGAAAUAGAAAUAUGAACUUGUUGGUGUAGAAUCAUUAAUAAAUUUAAUGAAUUUUUAAUCAAACCACUAAACUAAAAGAACUUUCACAUAUUUUCGGUAUUUUAAAACCGAAAAUUAAACAAUCGAUGCCAGAAGAGGCAAAAGAAGAAAAGCUAAGGGGAGACAAGAAGCAAAUUAAAACCAAAAUAAUAACAUUAAAUGAAUAAUUAACUUCGUACCAAUACAAAUGAAAUAUUCGGCCUCCGAAUUAGAGUAUUACAUAAAUAUAAAUUUUUAAAUUUGUAAAAAAGAUUACUUAUUAAAAUCUUAACUAAAUUAGCUAUGCUUUCUAAAAUUUCAGGGUGGACCAUUCUUCAUACAUUUGGAUUGAAUUUUUUUGAGUUUUUUCAAAUUUGUACUACUGUUCGUAUUUAUUUUGUAUAAUUCAAAAAUGUUGUUGAAAUCUUUAUAUUUAUUUUUUUAAUUAUCACGAUAAGUAUAUUACUUAUGAGAAAUGGCGUUCUACCUAUAAAGUACUAAUGACAAAAUCUUGAAAAUUUAGACAUGUAAUAAUGAAGGAAUCUAGAAGAAGAUAAACAUAAAAUCUUCUAAAAGUGGUAACUUUGAAAGCAUCCUAUUCGGCAAUUCCUGUUUCUCCAAGGAAAAUAUUAAUAAUUAUUUUAAAAUAAAUUAAUAUUAAUAAAAAUGAAUAAAAUCAAGCGGAAGAGGAAAGACUGUCGGCUUUAAUCGAUUUUGUGGUUCUUCCUUCAUAUGUGGAUAAGCCUCACCGUUUUUCAGACAACAAAAGAUGACCCAUCUCGUCAUCGACACGUCACAUUCAUCUCAGUGCCUAUCCAGCGGGAACGGUCAACAAAACGCCACGUGUUGAAGUUUCAUGGCUCUAUCUUCCACGAAUUAAAAAAAUACUAAUGGAGUAUAAGAUAACAAUGUUGAUUUUACGAGGCUAAUUUUGCUAAUAGUCCUUCAACUUCUGGAAUAUCUACAAAUAGUUUUCUUUUAUAAAAAAUGGUAUAUUAUUGCCGUAAAUAUCUAACAAUUUUAAAUAAAAUAAAAUAUUUUGAUUAACAAGUUGAAAAAAAUCUAGAGACAAAUUCAAACUUUACGUACAAAAUUCACAAAAACAAUAAACAAGUUUUUUCUUUUAAAAGCAAAUUUAGUUUCUGAAGAAAAAAAACACAAAAUUAUUUGUAAAAGAAAUAUAAAAUAAUAUUUUUAAUUAAAUAUAAUUUUACAACAUAAAUCAAUCUACUCUACCAAAUUGUUAUUGAAUAAUAUUUUUUUAUCAAAGAACUUGGGGUGGCAAUAUGUGAAUAAGAGAAGUUGGA